CACAGGAUGAAAACAUUGCUCUGUUUUUCUUUCAUUCCUGCAGGAGUGGUGGGAACACAACUGGGAGAGGUUUCUGGUAGGCAACAGCUCCAGAUGAUAGCACUGAACCAAGCCAGGCGAUUGUGCCCUCCCAGGCACUGCUCCAGGCGAUCUCUGCAUUCCUGCUGGCCACUGCUUUGCCAGAGAAGAGCUAACAGGAGGUUCAAGAGGCAGAUGCAAGAACUGUGGUGUGGGCACCUGCAGUGCCACUACAGCAGCCCAAAGAGCACUGCAGCAGGGCAGGGCAUGGAGGAGCAGGCUGAUUUCUGCUGGAGAGAGCAGCCUGGCAGGGAAGCAGUGCCUAACUGAGAUAAGUGGCUUUUAUUCAUUCUGUUUCUGAGUCUCUACUAUCUUUAAUGCUUGUUGAAAUAAAGGUUUUGGAAGCAAAGUCUUCCCUGAUGGUGUAACUUUCUCGUCUUUUGGUUAAAUUCUAAGGAUGUUUCUGCUCCUCAUUUUUCAGGUGCCCAGGAAAGAGGGAGGAAGGCAAGAUUUACUAUUCCCAUAACACCUAAAUAUAAACUGUAAUCAGAUUUAUAAACAACAUCUACAGACUUCUUUCAUAAGCUAUAAAAAGCUUUGCAAAGUACAUCUGUGCACUUCGGUUUCCUUUUCAUAGUCUUUCACCUUUGCUUCUAUUUCCCUAAAUAGAAAGAUAAUAGUAUUAAUCUAUUCCUUGGGGCUUUUGUGAAGAUUCACAAUUAAUAUUUAUGCAGUAAAAUGAAGUAAAUGCUGCAUAAGUGCUGAGCAUCAUUAUUGUUCUCUUUCUCUCUUCAUUAGCACACCAUGUACGUGCCAAGUAGAACAGAUAAACACAGAAAUUAGCUGCCCUCAAAGCCAGGCAAGUGAGAAAGGUAACAUGAGUGCUAGAGGGCCAUUAAUUAAAAAUGUUUGCUGUGGGUGACAUCUGUGGCAAACAAAACAACCCUCUGAGAUUUAAAGAAUUAAAUAUGUUUCUUUACACAUUUGAGCAAGUUCUGUCUGCAGCAAAGAAGUUCUGGGAAUAUUUUCAAAUUAAAUAUGCAGCAUACACUCCCACAGCAGCUGCAUCUUAAACAGGAAUCCACCUGAAGCACCAAGUAGGUUUUGCAUUGUAAAACCUGGAAACCUCAGUGAUUCUUUCCAGAUGUCAUUUAUUUCCUUUGCUUAUUACUACAUGUGUGUUUUCCAAAGCACAACUCACAUGGAACUGCCUUCACCUUUGCAACUACUACAGUAGCCAAUCUCCAUUUCUACAGGUUUUUGAUGCAGGAAUUUGGAUUAGUCCCAACAUGAUCAGGACUUUUCAUUUGUCCAUCUCAGCCAUGCUGGCCUGCAGAGCUGAGGUGGCCAUGCCCUUCAGAGCAGGAAGGUUCUGCACAGAUAACUUCAAAGAUUUUCUCUCUAGGAGUAUCUGGGUAUCUGAUGGAAUCUAAUUAACCCUAACACAGACAGCUAUUUAAAAAGUAGUGAACAAUUUCAUGCUCUCAGCAUUUGUACUUGUAUAUGUAGGAAUAUCCUAAAGGAAAAGGAGAAAGUUUCAUUGUGAAUGCUGUCCACUAAUUUGCUUGAUAUUUUCCUUUCAAGAGGAAUAAUGUCCAAUGAGAAGCAGUGGAAACUGCAAAUGGUGUGUAAGAACAAGUGUAAUAUGCAGCUGUAAAUUAAAAUGCCCAUUUGUAAUGGGUAAGAGCUAGUAAAAGAAACUCAGCGAAGCAGGACAGCUUUGCUCUUAUCAAAAUCAGAGCAGAAUCUGCCUGUCAGAAAACAAAAUAUUUCUUGCUCAAGCAGAUCAUUAUGCUGCUUUUUACACGCUUUGCAUUUCCUAACCACUCCUUAAAGCUCUGCUCUGUGACAAUCCAUAGCAAUCCUUAACUAGAACUGCAGACUGCAAGAGAUCUCUACCAAUUAACACCAAAUAGUAAUGAAGGAGAAAAACCAUUUUAAAAAUGAGAGACUAAUUGUAGCAGCAAUUGUUAAGUGCAGUUGCCUUGCAGGACUCUCAGAGGAAUCCAGAAUGGAAAGCCUUGUGUUACAGCCCCCACCUGAUGCUGGGGGAGACACUGCCUUUAACCCAUUUUUGCUGUGUUCUACCUAUUUUGCUUGUACAGCAGGGUUUGGGUUGGGAGGAAUGGAUUGGGUGGGGAGUUAUGGUUGAUGUAGACUUAAAACUAGGUUAGUUCAUAUUUAAUUUUUUUUUUUUAAAUUGUGAAUAUUCCACCUUAUAGGAGCACAGAAGGUGAUUGGUGCUAGAAGCCCCACAGUUGUGAUGAGAAGGAGGGAGGACUUAAGUGCCAUGGCUGGUGCAAGCCUAAUGCCAAAAGAAGGGGAUAAGACAAGGGGACCUGAAAGAGACUGGGAGCAGGAAAGUGUAAUGAAGUUACUGCAUGGACAGGAUUAAAUGACUAAAAGUCAUAAAAGUCACAGAAAUCAUGCUAAAGAAACUGGAAUUGUGAACUUGGCUCCUAAGCUUCCUAAUGUCCUUACCUAUCCCAGUAUCACUGAUAUGCUCAUUUGCAUAAAAGGAUGCUUUAUUUUAUAACAGCAAAUUAUUUGUCAGCUGGCCUCUGCAUCUGCUCCUUGGCAAUUUAGAUUAAUGGCAUUAAUGGCUUUUCUUUAAAGAAAUUGUUGCAGCUUUCCCUUGGUGCCAAAAGAAGGAUGUCUAUUGUUCUUCAUGCUAUAAUUUUUAAAAGCCUAAGAUGUUUUUUGAUUUGCUUAAACUGAGAAUAUGAGUAGCAAAAGAGAAUUAAAUUUGCAUUGCAUAAAAUAAAGAUGAAAGCGCUUUGAUGGAGUCUUGAUAUACACUUAGGAAGCAUUUUUAAAAUACCCAUAUUCCCAAAAUGUACAUAGACACAUUGAGAAUCAGUUGCUUGUUCAAAGGCUAAUUUAUUAUAAUUUAUACUGUUUGGCUACUGAAACAAUCUGUUUUCUUCUUCCUGUAAGGUUUUAGAUAAUCUGAAAGGAUCAAAGUGAGAUGUUUGUUCCAAUGGAUGUAGCUAUCCACUAUCAGAAGCUUUUUUGUGCUUCUGGAUAAGAAUUUUAUGCCCAACAAUAAAGAUGGUCCCAUAUUUAG